rnacentral:tRNA from 1 species
GGGCCGUUAGCUCAGCUGGUAGAGCAGCAGACUUUUAAUCUGCGGCGCGUCGGUUCGACCCCGACACGGCCCACCA